ensembl:miRNA mir199-2a microRNA 199-2a
CCCAGUGUUCAGACUACCUGUUCAUCAAGCUGCAGCUGAACAGUAGUCUGCACAUUGGUU